UUACACAAUUAAAAUAUGAAGGCUUCGGCUGGAUUAUUUUUAUCACCCUUGUCUUUUGCGCACUUGUUGUUUCCUGGGCGGGUUCGCCCGCCACCAGGACCACACCAUAAACCUUUUUUAUGCAGUUGCAAUCAGCGUCAGUAUAACAAAUGUAAAUCAUUUACAACUUUCAACAACGGAUCUCUUGGUUCUGGCAUCGAUGAAGAACGCAGCGAAAUGCGAUACGUAGUGUGAAUUGCAGAAUUCAGUGAAUCAUCGAAUCUUUGAACGCACAUUGCGCCCUUUGGUAUUCCAAAGGGCAUGCCUGUUCGAGCGUCAUUUGUACCCUCAAGCUUUGCUUGGUGUUGGGCGUCUUUUGUCUUUGGCCUCGCCCAAAGACUCGCCUUAAAACGAUUGGCAGCCGGCCUACUGGUUUCGCAGCGCAGCACAUUUUUGCGCUUGCAAUCAGCACAAGGACGGCAAUCCAUCAAGACUACAUUUUUACGUUUGACCUCGGAUCAGGUAGGGAUACCCGCUGAACUUAAGCAUAUCAAUAAGCGGAG
rnacentral:rRNA from 1 species